UGAUUUAUCCAAGCUGAGGGUCUGACCCCAUUUUCAGCACGCAGUUCAGCUGCAGCUGGGGAUGGGCUGUCUCCGUCUCCACACUUAGAUGGGGCUCCUCACCAGGGCCCACAACUAAUCUAUGCAUAGGGGCCAGCAAACAGUUUUCAAGUCCCUGGGGCAGCUGCUCCCUGAAACAAACUUGGAGGUGUCCAUAAGUUUAAACAGCUCGGAAAGAGCAAGCGGUGGCUCCAGGCGGGCACUGGAGCCCUGCCACGCUCAAGACUGCAGUUUGGGCCUACAGGAUGCCGAGCGCCCCUAGCUCUUAUCGGUAACGGGAACAAAGGGCACCGCAGAGGCUCGCAGCAUCAACCUGUUGGAUGCCUACUGUAGGCAAAGGGGCGCUCUUCCCCUCUCCCUGUGCCGUGGCAUCUCAGGCAGUUGACCUGUUGGGACUGCAAAGCUCUGCUACAAUGUACCUGUGUUGCCUACAGGUCUCUAGGGAGCCCCCAGCCCUUCCAAGGGGUGCCUCCAGCGUGCCGGCGGGGCCAAGCAUGUGUGCUCUUGUCGGGACUUGGCGCGAAAAGCAUAGGAAAAGGCGUUCGGUGAUCUGUGCCGCUCGGGAGCCCCCGGGGGGAGAUCAGCAAACAAACAAGCAAACAAGCAAGCUGCAACGGCUGAUGCUGCUGGUGUUUAAUCACACAGCUCAGUGCUAAUCGGGAUCCAGCAUAAGCAGUGGGCAGGUGUUUCAGCCUUCCCUUCCCUGUUCAGGUUACUGCCGGACAAACAGAAGAGCACACCUCUAAAGGGGGCUGCGACCCCAGGGCCUGACCUGCCAGGACUUACCCACGCCAGCCUAGCUUUUCACACUAGACACAACCACACUGCAGUAAGUUAAGAGGAGUGCAAGCCUUUGCAGGAUCAGGGCCUAAGUAACCCUUGCUGUAGGGCAGGCUCAGGCCAUGCUAAUGAGACUGCCUGUUGGUACACAGGUCUACACUAGUGCACAACUGCUGCCCAAGAUCUGCUAUAUGUUUGCACUGAAGUAAUACCGAGAAGCCCAAGUCAGGGACCAGGAUCCCAUUAGAUGAGUCUCUGAACAAGCACAGAAAGAAAGCACAUCCCCACCCCCGGUUACAAAUGCUUCUGAUGUCAAUGGCUUGAAAAAAAGGAGCCAAGCAAAUAUAUAACAUUGUGAAUACAUUUUUCCUCGGUAACUGAGGACUGAUUGACAGUUACCAAACCAGGGAGAGCAAUCUUGAUUUCUACUUACAGCAAUUUAAGGGAAAAACCUCUGAGGACCUGCCUACACCGAUCUUGCAGCUGUGUUUAAGACAGUUUCUGCAAAACCAGUUUAUCACACACUUUUGCUGCCAGGUGGGGAUGGCUUUAGAAGGGUUUUGAAAGGACACCAGCAAUCUGAAAUGCACUCAGGUUUACAAACAGAGCUAAAAACCUACCACACUUUCCCUUCCCACUUUCCAAAUACCCUCCCAAUUUUUGCAGCUUGGAAUUGCUGUUUUUCAGCAUUGCUUUUUAUCCCCCGCCUCCUGCCACUCACUCCCCACAAUGUGUUUCUAUUCCCACGUUUCUGGGUGGAAAACCGUGCAAACUGAAAGAGGAAGUUGACCGAGUGCAGAAAGGUAACAAUAAAACCGACUUUGCCCAACCUGAUACCAAAUGCACAAGGGAAGCAACGUGAAAAAUAAAGAUAGCUCUUCCUUCAUCUUUUCAGUUAUUGUGAGCUUGGAGGUUAUUCAUAGCGGGAGAUAAUCAAACGUCACUAAAAAAAAAGAAAAGAAAAAGUUGUCUGUAGCCCUUUAAGAACACCCAAGACUAGAAUUCAGAGGUUAAAUUUAAAUGUAAGCUGAACAAUUUAAAAAAAUAAUAAUAAUUGUACCUAGCACUGGGAAAAAUGUUUCUGUGGAGCAGUUUUUCAUCCAAAAAAAGCAGUUUCAUUGCAAGCAAAAUGUUUUGCAGGAGAGUGCCAAUUUCAAUCGUUUGCAACAGAAUUUUUUCAAAACAAAUUGUUGCGACAGUCUCAUUUAAUUAAUGUCAAAACAUUGCUUAGACCCCCCCCAACACACUUCAUUUUUUUUAAUAUUCACUUGAUGCUAUCUGGGGGGGUGUAUAUAUAUAUAAAGAGAGAGAGAGUGACAUUAUUGAAACAAAAAUGUUUCAAUGUUCCCAAAGCAUUUGUCUUCAAAUUCUGCAGGAAAUAACCAAACUUUGGCUUUUAAUUCGGAUUCAGAGUUAAAACGAAUUUUACAAUAUCAGAAUUUCCCUUCAAAUGGGAAAUGUUUUCCCACCAUCUGUAGCUCUAAUUCAGUUUGGCUCCAUUCGCAGUAGCCAGGCAGAACUUCUCAGAAACUGGUUUAAUGCAAACGGUGUUUGCAGAGGGCCAUGGCCAAGGUAGAGAGGACACUGGCAGCUGAUCCUCAGCAAAUGUACAUUUUCAUUGCACUAUUGAUUUUUAUACCAGCUGAGGACAUGCCCCUCUGUGUGCUGCUCCAGGCUUUCAGGCAAAGGGAAGAGACGCUUUCCAAAGGUUCUCGAUGUUGCCUUUCAUUUUUUUUCCAGUAAUUUCAUAUGCACCUAUCUUGUACAGGCAAAAAUGAAGAUGUGCACAUAAGAUACAGCUGUGUGCGCAAAGCUGCAUGGAUACCUGCUUAGUUCACCAAGACAAAUGUAAGAUUCUUUCUGCAUGUGUCAAAAGUUGGACUUGGAAAAAAUUCUUGCAAAAAAAAAAUGUUACUCUCUAAAUCUCUGCCUGUAAUUGUACUGAAUUUCAGUAGGAGUAAAGUUUUCACUCCACUUCAACCAUUUUCAGGAGGGUGAUGUGUCCUCUAGGCAAACAGAUUGACCUGGACAUGAUUCUGUAAAAGGUUUUGGGUCAGACUCUCUGGCUAAGGGUUUGUAUAACGUACAUCCAAACACCUCCUGCAAAAAUGACAAGGACACCUCCGAGGCCAGGUUCUGUGGUGCAAAGAGAGCUGGGGCUAGCAAUGAGUGGACAGAGUGGUUUAACAUGAUCAACAGAUUAAAUCAAAAGUCCUGAACCUGCUUUUCUUAAUGAAUCAGGCAAAACUCACAGUGAGAACAAGACAGGUCCUAAAAAAGCAAUUGCAAAUCUAUCAUUUUCAUGACAAUACACAAAGACAAGCCCCAAAACAUCAUUUUAAUCUGAUUUGAUCAGAAAUGCCGCAUCAGCGAUUACAAAAUGCCACAGUCAUUUUGAAAGGAUCUCCACUUUAACCCUUUGCACUGUGGCUCCUGAAAAUCAAACACUGAUUUACAAAUAAAAAUGCUCUCGAAACACCACCGAUCUGCAGUGACAAGUAAGGUGUAUUUUUCUGUAAACCUGGAUUCUGCCACAAGAGGAUUUGAUUUUUAUGACUAAACAAAUCUGGAAAAGUUGCACGCUUCUGAGCUGAAUAGAUUUAAACAUGCGGAUGAGGCAAACGUGGAUUGAAUUAGCUUUUGUACCCUUCUUCAUUCCUUUCAAUGAUUAGUCUGUGAGCCACCGAGUAACAAGCGUAGAGUUCCUUAGUCUUCCCUUUUCUUGUGGUUUUACUAUUUAAAACAUUCCAAGCUCUGGAAGGGGCUUGAAACACCAGAGAGAAAAUGAGCAGGGUUAUAAACACAGGACCUGAUCCCGCUCGCCCUUAUCCCUUUGGGGAAUCCUACCCUCGCCGUCUCAAGAGAGCAAAAACUUGCAGGAUGAAGUCCCAGUUUUGCACAGCGGCGGCAUUUAUUUGAGCGAGUCAAACGGGCCUUUGACACAACGUCAAUGUUUUCUUUUAAAAAGCGGCUGUCAAGUUGGAAGGCAAAUUAAAUACACAUUUAUAAGCCAUCUUAUUAUCAUUAUGCCCCAUUUUGCAAAGGCCAGAGAAAUGUCACAGGCGGUGCAGAUUGGUCAGAUUCCAGUGAACUCUGGUGAGCGGGGCUGUUUUGUUGGAGACCUUCUAUCAGCGGCUCUGGUCACUCCAUGUCAGUCAGCCGGACAAACAAACAAACACUAUGGUCACAUGCCCAAAUGCACAUGACGGAUGCAGAUGUGAAGCUGUGAAAGGGCCCUUUGCAUUUUAAACACCUGCAGGAAUUCCAGAGCCGUUGGAAUGCCUUCCACUCUAGUGCCCCCGAGCCGUCCCGAUACAAAGAGCCCGAUCCCGAAUGCAACCCCCUCUCCCACUAGGGUCAGCUGGGCCCGAAGUUGGCAGUGAGAAAAUAGCUCCUGGAAUGUACAAUAUCCCAUCCCUGUCGUGAAGGCCGGUAGGGUGCUGACAGCGAAUAAGGAGAGGGCUGGUCCCACAAUGCCUUGUGCUUGCUUAGGAAGUGAAAGGGGCAUUCUCAAAAUAAGCAAUAGGCCGUGCUAAAAAAAAAAUAAAUAAAAAAAUCCCCAUUACGUUCUCAAAGUUUAUGUUAAUGCUAAACCAUCCAUCAUUAAAACUUUCUGUUGAAAAUGAAGAUGCCAACUCUAGUCUAUGCACACACACGCACAUGCACAAUCGCAUUGUUUUUAUUCUCAAAUUACUUUCUGCAUGGGGAAGAGAAUGCAGUUUACUAUUCAUAACAUUUUCCAAAGAAUAUCCCCUAGCGCCUCAACAAAAAGGAACUAUAACCGCCCAUAAUGUAGCUGCACAUUUUUGUAACGUGAUAAUUGUAACUAUACGCAUCGUUUUGUUCUCGUGUAUCGGACGAGAGUUUCUUUUUUCAAAAGGUUACGCAAAAGAGUUCAUUGCAGUCAAUCAGUCUUCAAUAGUCAUUCUUUAUGAACCAGCGUCAUUUGUAAUGCCCAGCAAAGAGUUAAAAAUAUCUUCAGGGCCGGAUUCCCCUCUCAUUUAUAAUUAUGUAAAUCAGGAGAAAACUAAAUGAAGCCCUUUUACUGAAAUAAAUGAAGCUUUGGGAUACGGCUACAAUUAUUUGCAAAUUCAGGUUGAGUUUAGGCAAAAAAAAAAUGAGGAUGCCUAAAAAGUGUCAGAGUAUUUUGUGUUGAUAUUUGCUGAACAACAUAUUGGCAUUUUGAAUGAAAUGUUCCGAGUUCAUUUCAAAAUGGCAUUUCUGUUUUAAAAAUGACCUAAAGUAAAACAGAUGAACAAUAAAGGAGUGGUAAAAUAAA